GGUAGAAAUACCAAAACUGAGGUGCCGAAGGAUGGGCUCGCGUCUGAUUAGAUAGUUGGUGGGGUAACGGCCUACCAAGUCGACGAUCAGUAGCCGGACUGAGAGGUUGAACGGCCACAUUGGACUGAGACACGGGCCCAGACUCCUACGGGAGGCAGCAGUGGGGAAUAUUGCACAAUGGGGGAAACCCUGAUGCAGCAACGCCGCGUGAAGGAAGACGGUUUUCGGAUUGUAAACUUCUGUUCUUAGUGAAGAAUAAUGACGGUAGCUAAGGAGCAAGCCACGGCUAACUACGUGCCAGCAGCCGCGGUAAUACGUAGGUGGCAAGCGUUGUCCGGAAUUACUGGGUGUAAAGGGAGCGUAGGCGGGAUGCCAAGUCAGCUGUGAAAACUAUGGGCUUAACUUGUAGACUGCAGUUGAAACUGGUAUUCUUGAGUGAAGUAGAGGUUGGCGGAAUUCCGAGUGUAGCGGUGAAAUGCGUAGAUAUUCGGAGGAACACCGGUGGCGAAGGCGGCCAACUGGGCUUUAACUGACGCUGAGGCUCGAAAGUGUGGGGAGCAAACAGGAUUAGAUACCCUGGUAGUCCACACUGUAAACGAUGAUAACUAGGUGUGGGGGGUCUGACCCCUUCCGUGCCGCAGCUAACGCAAUAAGUUAUCCACCUGGGGAGUA
rnacentral:rRNA from 1 species